AGGCUCAUGAGCAAAUAUAUAAUCAAUUAUAUAUACCCAUAUUUCUUUUCAUCCUGUUUCUUUUUUCCUGAUGCUCCAAGUUUCUUUUUUUUAUCAUUACUUUUCUGUUUAAAGAACUUUCUUUAGCCAUCUUUCUAACAAUAGGUCUAAUAAACAGAGAGCAGAAUGAUGGUUACUAGGGGCUUGAGGGGGAGGAGGAUGGGGAGAUGCUAGUCAAAGGUUAUAAGCCUUCAUUUAAAGUACAGUGUGGUGGCUAUAGUUAAUAAUACUAUCUUGUGUACUUAAAAUUUCCUUAGAGAGUAGACAUUAAGCAUUCUCACCACACAUACAGAAAAAGGAACUUUGUAAGGCAAUGGAUGUAUUAAUUAGCCUGAUUAUAGUAAUCAUUUCAUAAAGUAUAUGAAGGUCAAAUCAUUACAUUGUAUAUCUUAAAUGUAAAGAAUUUUAUUUGCCAAUUAUACCUCAAAACUGAUACUAAGAAAGAAUAGAUCUAUUAGUGACAAAUUCUUUGUAUUCUCUCUCACAUGGGAAUAUUUCUGUAUUUCCUUAAUUUAUAAAAGUGGUGGACACUUCUUUCCUUUCAGCGUUUAAAGUAAUUUUUGUAGCUUCCUUCUGGCCUCCAUGGUAUCACAUGAGAAAUAUGCUGUCAUUUGAAUUUGUGUUUUCCUAUAGUUCAUGUGUUGUUUCUCUCUGGCUGCUUUAAAAAUUAUUUUCUUUGAUUUUAGUUUUCAGAAUUUUAAUUGUGCUGUUUCUUGGCAGGGAUUUCUUUGAAUGCAUUCUAUUUGAUAUUUACUUAACUUUAUGAACUUGUAAGUUCUUGUUUUCCAUCAAAUUAGGGAAAUUUUAAGCUGUUAUUUAUGUGAAUAUUCCUUUAGUCCUACCCUCUCCUCUCCUUCUGGCACUGUGAUGAUACAAAUUUUGUUUCACAGAUCACUGAGGCUCUAUUCCUUUUUUCUCUCUAUUAUUUAGAUUGGGUAAAUUCCAUUGAUCUGUCAUUCCUACCUACUGAGCCUAUCUAGUGAGUUUUCUUAUAUCUGUUAUUUGGCCACUAUUUGUAAUAACUAAGAUAAAUAAAAAUUUCAAGUUGUGAUGUUUUAUCUAUUCUUUUCUAGUUAUUGCACUAUUUCUAUUUUGUUGUCAUGUCAGCUAGGACCAUCAUUAAAAUGCUUAAUAAUAGAAGUCAUGAUAUCUUUUUAUUUUGCUCUUUUUUUUUUAGGGCUGAACCCAUGCCAUAUGGAGGUUCCCAGGCUAGGGGUCUAAUCGGAGCUACAGCUACCAGCCUACACCACAGCCACAGUAAUGCCAGAUCCAAGCCAUGUCUGUGACCUACACCAAGCUCAUGGCAAUGCCAGAUCCUUAACCCACUGAGCAAGGCCAGGGAUCAAACCUGCCUUCUCAUGGAUCCUAGUCAGAUUCAUUUCCACUGAGCCAUGAUGGGAACUCCAGAAAAAUAUGAUAUUUUUCAUGUAGCUUUUCUUCUCCUUUUCUUUCUUUCUUUUUUUUUUUUUGUAGUCAUCUUUGGUUAAGGAAGUUUUUCCUUUAUCUUGCUAGAAAUUUUUAUAUUGAUGAUGCAUUAAAUUUCAUCAAGUCCUUUUUUACAUCAGUGAGAUGUUAAUGUUUUUCCUUCAAAUCUUUUAAAUAAGCAAAUUACAAAGACAGACUAUCAAAUCUAUGUGCCAUCCUAAUAUAUAUCUGACUUAUUUCUACUUUAUUAUUUCAAAUCCUCCUUGAAUUCAAUUUUCUCAUAUUUUAUUAGGAUUUUCCUUUUAUGCUUAUACCUGAGUUUGAUUACUAAUUGUAUAUAGUGCACUUCUUGUCCAGUUUGGCAUCAAGUUUAUGCUAACCAUUGGAAAGGAUUUUAUAGGAAUUCCUGCUGUUGUGCAGUAGGUUAGGAAUCCUGCAUUGUCUCUGUGGCAGCAUGGGUUCUAUCCCCAGCUUGGUGCAGUGGGUUAAGGAUCCAGCAUUGCCACAUUUAUAAUAUUCUCUGUGUUCUAAAUUUCUGGAACAAUGUGCCUAAGAUGAAAGUUACAUGUUUCUUAAAGUUUUUGUUUAAUACCCCAUAGAAGGUCAUAAAAUGGUAGUAAAAAACACCCCCUAGAAGGAUAUGAAAUAGUAGUGAAAUAUAAUUUUCAAAGAUUUGUUUUCUUUAGAGUUUAUUGGUCUAUUCAACUUUUCUACUUUUUAUUUGGAAAUUUUUGUGUACCUUUAUAUUUCUAAAUUAUUAUCUACUUUAUGAGUGCAAAUAUUUUUGCAUAAAUAUGUACAUAGUCUACUGAUGUGGUAAUCAUCUGAUGUUUUUGUAUUUUACCUUUCCAAUUUUGAUUAUACUUAUCGAGGUUUGUGUUUUUAAUUAGUUUUCUGAAACAACUUUAUUUUAUAAAUAAGUUCUACUGCUUUUUUAUCUUCUCAUUUUCAGCUUUUACAUUUAUUAAUUAAUUUAGAUUGAUUUUUUUUUCAUUUUGCAGUUCCCUUUCUGGUUUUAUAUUUCAAUACUUAAAUUGUUUGUUUUACUCUCCCAUAUUCAGGUACAUUUCCUUCUUCUUAUUACAUUGGCUAUACCUCACACAUAGUGUUUUUGUUAUCAUUUACUUCUAAAUUUUUUUUUAAUUUCUUAUUCAAUUUCUCUUUAAUCAAGGUUAUUUUGUAGCUGUCUUUCUUCUUCUUAAUUUCUAAAUUGUACGGAAUUUAGACAGCACCCUUUAAAAAUUAUUUCUCAAUCUAUUGAAUUUUAGUGUGUGGAUAUGGUUGGUACAAUGUGAUUAUUUUUAAUUAGUUAAGACAUUUUUUGUCAAAUUCUGCAAAUAUUCCAAAUAUGUUUUUGCUCUACCUCUAAAUAAAGAUUAUGCUUUUUUCCCCAGUUUGUUGGUUAAUUUGGUUAUUGAAAUCCUCUAUAAACCUUCUUAUUUGAUUUACUGGUUUCUGAGAAAGAUUUGCUUAAAUCUCCUAUUAUUGCAUGUUUUUCAAAUUCUCCCUUGAGACUUAGUCAACAUGUGCUUACUUUAACAAAAAUAUGUUGGGAUAUGUAAGCUAAUGUUCAUGACUUUUAUAGGUUAUAGUUGAUUUUUCUUUAACAAUACAUACUUUCUUACUUUGCCCCACUUAAUGCUUUCUGUAAUGAAACCUGUUUUACCUACACCUGCUUUUAUUUUAACAUUUACUUCAUGUAAAAUUUUUAUUCAUUUAUUUAUCACCUUUUCUGCCAUCUUACUAAGGUGCCACUCUUAUUAGCAGUCAUCCUUAGACUUUUAAAAAAUCCAAUUUGAGGAUCUCUAUCUGACAGUAGAUAAUUUUAAUCAAUUAAAGUUUAUGUGAAUUCUGAUAGAUUCAGCUUUAUUCCUGCCAUCUUAUUUUGUGUUUUCUCUUUCAUUAUUUUAUUCUAUUCCUAUUUUAUGUUGGAUGAUCAAAUUUAUGUUUGACUUUCCUAUUAUUUGUUUAGAAACUGAAUUCAUAACUCUAAUUCUUUGAGUAUCCACAUAUUAGCAUACUCUUAAUAAAUAUCUAAAAAUAGCAUUAGUCUUUUGCAUUUUCUCUCUCCUUCCUUCAGUGGUCCUACUUAUUUGUAUCAGUUACUCCUUUUUAUCUGCAAUUUCAGGUCUUUCUUCAUUUUAAAUUUUAAAUAUUCUUUUACAUAUUUCAGGUCUCUUAUUUUGGUACAUAGUUAUCUGGUUUUUUCCUUAAUCCAUCUUCUAUGUUAUCACCUCUCUUAUCAUUUUAUUGCCUUUAUUUUUUCCUUGUUCUUCUAUGUAAUCUUAGAAAGCUAUUUUAGGUACUCUACACAUAACUAAUUUAUGUUGUAAUAAUCAUCCGUGCUUGUAAUGCUUUUUUGAAAUAUGUUACAGUAUUCAUUUCCCUCUACACUUUUUUUCAUUAUACUACCUAUAUCUUUUAUCUCUAUUUUAUUUCAUCAGCAUAGCUUUCAUCUCCUCUCUAGAUUUCAGUUUAUUUCUGUGAACAUAGUGCAGAUGCUGGCUAAAAUUUCCUCUUAUUCUUGCAAUCAUUUUAACAAACUAUAUCCUCUGUAUCUCUUUAGUGUUACCUUUAUUUCUUAUUCUGAAAAAUCUUUUGGCCCACUUGUUAGUUCUUUCUGUUGCAAACUUGAAUGUUGCCUGAUAUUUGUCCAAAGUGUGGAUGGAUUCUCCUUAGAUUCCUUCAUUAGUCUCUAGGAUACUCAUAAAAUCUUUUGUUCACAACUUUAAUUUGAAAGUUGAUUAAAAUAAGUUUUUUUAAUCUGUUUGGUGAUUCAGUAACCUGAAGGUAAUGGUAAGAUGCUAUUGUAUUGAGCAGCCCUGGUAUAUAGUAAUUUUAUUUUUUCAUAGAUUUUAUUUCAAGAAUCAACUUUCUGCAUUUAGUUUUUCAUUAGCCUGACUUCCACUUCAGACACAUAAUUCAUUGUCCAUUUUUAUUCUUGGUGCUGGUGCCCACAAUGCCAGAGAAAACCCUGAUAUAUUAAGAAAUGAUUUUAAAGUCCUAAAUAAAUGAAGAGAUUUACCUCGUUCAUGGAUCUGAAGAUUCACUGUUGUGGAGAUAUUGACAAUUCCCAAAGUGAUUCAUAGAGUCAAAUUAAUGCCAGUCAAAAUCUCAGCAGGAGCUUUGCUUAUAAAUUGAAAACUCAUUCUACAAUUCAUAUGGAAAAGUAAAGUUACUAGAAUAGCUAAUAAAAUAAUUCUGAACAAUACCUUAUUACAAGAUUUACAAUAAAUCUAAUGUAAUCAAAACAAAAUGAUACUGACAAAGAGACACACAUAUCAAUGAACAAAAUAGAGAAAUCAGAAAUAGACACACAGGUAUGUUCCCGUCGUGGCGCAGUGGUUAACGAAUCCGACUAGGAACCAUGAGGUUGCGGGUUCGAUCCCUACCCUUGCUCAGUGGGUUAAUGAUCCGGCGUUGCCGUGAGCUGUGGUGUAGGUUGUAGACGCGGCUUGGAUCCCACGUUGCUGUGGCUCUGGCGUAGGCUGGUGGCUACAGCUCCGAUUGGACCCCUAGCCUGGGAACCUCCAUGUGCGACAGGAGCGGCCCAAGAAAU
rnacentral:lncRNA from 1 species